UACGUAAAAGACGAGUGUUAUUCAUCUUUAAUCGGUUUAAAGGGUACCUAGACGGAAAAUCAAGCUUAAUUAAACUAAGGACUAGUUUUCUAGAGUUUGACAUGAGAAGGUACGAACUAUCAGAGGAGAGAUAAAAUUUGUUGAUACUGGUGGGACGGACAACGGCGAAGGCAAUCUUCUACUAAAAACUGACGUUGAGGGACGAAGCCUUGGGGAGCGAGAAGGAUUAGAUACCCUAGUAGUCCUUGGAGAAAAUUAUGAGUGCCAUAGACUAAAGUGAAAAAGAAGUUCUUUUAAAAGAACUUUGUAUCUGAGCCUUAAUUGGAUACAAAGGUCUCGAGUAGCAGUUUAUAAAUGAAAGUGUAAGCAUUCCACCUCAUGACUAAAGCGGCAACGCCCAAAUUGAAAUCAUUAGACCGUUUCUGAAACCAGUAGUGAAGUAUGUUAUUUAAUUCGAUAACCCGCGAAUAACCUUACCACGUUUUGAAUUUAUUAAACAAGUGUUGCACGGCUGUCUUCAGUUAAUGUCGUGAGAUUUUGGUUUGUUCCAUUAAUUAACGAAAACCCUUGUUUCAUUUUUAUAUGAAAUAGUUCACCGUUAUAUUGGA
rnacentral:rRNA from 1 species